rnacentral:tRNA from 1 species
UCCCUGGUGGUCCAGUGGUUAGGACUCUGAACGUCCAAUGCAGAGGGCCCAAGUUCGAUCCCUGGUCAGGGAA